UACGGGGGAUGCAAGCGUUAUCCGGAAUUAUUGGGCGUAAAGGGUCCUGAGGUGGCUAGCCAAGUCUAUUGUGAAAUAUCAGGGCUUAACCCUGAACAUGCGGUGGAAACUAGAAAGCUUGAGUACAGUAGGGGCGGAGGGAAUUUCCGGUGUAGCGGUGAAAUGCGCAGAUAUCAGGAGGAACACCGGUGGCGAAGGCGGGUCUCUGGGCCGAUACUGACGCUGAGGAGCGAAAGCGUGGGGAGCGAACAGG
rnacentral:rRNA from 1 species